rnacentral:rRNA from 1 species
UGGGGAAUUUUGGACAAUGGGGGCAACCCUGAUCCAGCCAUGCCGCGUGCGGGAAGAAGGCCUUCGGGUUGUAAACCGCUUUUGUCAGGGAAGAAAUGUCCUGGGUUAAUACCCUGGGGGGAUGACGGUACCUGAAGAAUAAGCACCGGCUAACUACGUG